rnacentral:SRP_RNA from 1 species
UUCCGGGCCCCGCGCGAUGCGAACCACCAAACCCGGUCAGGCCCGGAAGGGAGCAGCCGCAAGGCGGACCUCGCAGGCGCCGCGGGUCACCUUGGACCG